rnacentral:rRNA from 1 species
AUGAAGGGGAAGGGCGGGGCGCUCGACAGGAGGUCGUCUGCGAGGUGGAGGCUGCUGCUGCUCUGCGCCUUCAGCUUCGGGCUCGGCAUGCUCUUCACCAACCGCUUCUGGACAGCACCAAAUACCAAUAACCACAUCAUGUCCCAACACAGGAGACAAGACCAGGAGUUGCAACUUGUGUCAGAGGAUUGCAAUACAAAGAGGAAGCAUGGGGAGCACAAGGAUAUAAUGGGAGAGGUAACCAGGACCCAUGAAGCCAUACAAUUGUUGGAUAAGUCAAUCUCAACGCUGCAGAUGGAGCUUGCAGCAAAGCGAAGCACGUUGGAACUGGUCCGUUCUGGUGUGCCAGUAACUUCAGAAACUAGUCAAUCAAGGAAAAAAGCAUUCGUUGUCGUUGGAGUUAACACCGCUUUCAGUAGCCGCAAGCGUCGUGAUUCAGUCAGGGACACAUGGAUGCCUCAAGGUGAGAAGCUGCUGCAGCUUGAAGAACAGAAGGGAAUAGUUAUCCGCUUCACUAUAGGCCAUAGUGCUACAUCCAAUAGUAUAUUGGACAAAGCAAUAGAUGCAGAAGAUGCACAGCAUCAUGACUUUCUUAGACUGGACCAUGUCGAGGGGUAUCAUGAACUCUCCGCAAAGACAAAAAUCUUCUUCUCCACGGCCGUGGGCAUUUGGGAUGCUGACUUCUUCGUCAAGGUCGAUGAUGAUGUGCAUGUGAACUUAGGAAUGCUUGCCACUACCCUUGCGAGGCAUAAAGCGAAACCAAGAACUUAUAUUGGCUGCAUGAAGUCAGGCCCAGUUCUUGCUGACAAGAAUCUGAAGUACCAUGAACCCGAGGCCUGGAAAUUUGGGGAGGACGGAAACAAGUAUUUUCGCCAUGCUACUGGACAGAUAUAUGCCAUCUCAAAAGAUCUUGCGACCUAUAUCUCAAUAAAUCAACCUAUCUUACACAAGUAUGCGAACGAAGAUGUAUCACUUGGGUCAUGGUUUAUUGGGUUAGAGGUUAAUCAUAUUGAUGAAAGGAACAUGUGCUGUGGAACUCCACCAGAUUGUGAGUGGAAAGGGCAAGCUGGCAAUAUCUGCGUGGCAUCCUUUGAUUGGAGCUGCAGCGGCAUAUGCAAGUCCGUCGAGAGGCUCAAGGAUGUACAUGCUCGAUGCGGCGAAGGCGAUUCUUCUGUUUGGAGUGAUCUAAUCUAG